rnacentral:rRNA from 1 species
UUCUGACCGUAAACGAUGCCAACUAGCGAUCCGCCGGUGGAUUUUUAGCCCUGGUGGGUAGCUUCCCGGAAACGAAAGUCUUCCGGUUCCGGGGGAAGUAUGGUUGCAAAGCUGAAACUUAAAGGAAUUGACGGAAGGGCACCACCAGGAGUGGAGCCUGCGGCUUAAUUUGACUCAACACGGGGAAACUCACCCGGCCCGGACACCGUAAGGAUUGACAGAUUGAUAGCUCUUUCAUGAUUCGGUGGUUGGUGGUGCAUGGCCGUUCUUAGUUCGUGGAUCGAUUUGUCUGGUUUAUUCCGAUAACGAGCGAGACUCUAGCCUACUAAAUAGUAACGAGAUUAUCAAUGUCUCAGUUGCUUCUUAGAGGGAUUUUCGGUGUUUAGCCGCACGAGAUUGAGCAAUAACAGGUCUGUGAUGCCCUUAGAUGUCCGGGGCUGCACGCGCGCUACACUGGCGAAAUCAGCGUGCUGUAUCCAUUCUCGAAAGGGAUUGGUAAACCCAUGAAAAUUUGCCGUGCUUGGGAUCGGAAAUUGCAAUUA